GAGAGAGAGGCGUGGAAAGAGUGAGAGGAAGAGAGAGAAGCGGGCAGCGUGUUUAGGGUAAAUGAUGAUUUGGUCGACUUGAGGUAGUAAAGGGCAUAUUUAUAUCUCUUAUUUAUCGUCCGUCUGUUGGACGGUAAUUUCAUUCGACGGACGCUAAUUAGCGUUCGUUUAAAAGAACAGACGCUAAAUUUCAGAAAGCGGACGCUACUUUGCGUUUGUCAUAUAUCGGACGCUAAUUGUGAAUUUACCGUCCGCUUAUACUGUCGAACGCUAAAUUCAGACGCCAAAAAGGCGGAUUCUUGUUGUGUCUCUGAUUUGCUUCUGUCUCUCUCUCUCUCUCCCCCUCUCUCUCUCCUUCACUCAAAUCUUAUUUCUCCCUCCCCGUGUCUCUGAAACCCCAGAACUCCAAAAGUAAAAACCCCAAAAACCCCGUGAAGCAUCUUGGUUCUGCCGGAUUUUUACCGCUGCUGUCAUGCUGCUGUUGCUUAGUCUCGCCGGAACCGCGCUGGCUUCGUCGAAUCUUCGAUUUGAAAUAAUUUGGCUUCGAAGGAAAAAAAGCGUGGUGAAGCUUCGAAGGAAAAAGCUUAUAGAUCUGAAAUAAUUUGGCUUUCUUCGACGUUCUCCAUCUCUAACAGAUCUGAAAGUGACUGAAAUACUUUGGCUUUCUUUCCCAUUCUCCAUCUCCAACAGAAGAGGGCGACUAUUGACGAUGAAGAUUGAAGAAUGUUUUUUAUUUUUUUGGAUCUAUGUAAAAGUUGUAAUAAAUUGUAAAUUUUAAUGUUUGGAUAUUAAAUUUUAGGGUAUUUUGUGUGUUAGAUCUAAUUUUUUUUUGUUUCAAAUUGUAUAGUAAUAAAACGGUUUCAAAUUGUGUGUUAGAUCUAAAUUUUUUGUUUUCAAAUUGUAAAAGUUGUUGUUCUUCUCUUUAUUUCUUUCUUUUGGCCUAUAACAAAACCAAUCGCACAGAGAUUGUUCAAUCUGGAAUUUUAGUUCCAAAAAUAAUUUUUUUUUAUUAAAAUAGUAAUUUGCGUCGCACAUAGCCUGUUGUGCGACGCAAAUCACUAAUGUGCGUCGCACCCUUGGCAAUGUGCGACGCACAUUAUCUCUGCAUUACUCUGAAUUGGGCUGGGAUAGCCAUUUGUGUCGCACCGUAUACGAGCGAGGUGCGAUGCAAAUAGGUGAAAAUGUGCGUCGGAUCUGCAUUCGACGCAGACCAUUGAUAGUCAUUUGCGUCGAGGCCUGUGGCGUCAGACCCAUGUCCGACGCAAAUAGGCGCCUCACAUCCGACGCAAAUUGCCUAUUCUGUACUAGUGACGGUGUCAAGUUUCCAUUAGUCAUUAACCCUAAUUAAAUCCUCAUUCUAACCCUAGUUAAACCCUAAUCCUAAUCCUAAUUCUAAAACCUACCCCUAACCUUAACCUUGAACUCUAACCCUAACCCUCCCACCACCCU